rnacentral:misc_RNA from 1 species
UACGGGGGGGGCAAGCGUUGUUCGGAAUUACUGGGUUUAAAGGGAGCGCAGGCGGGUUGAUAAGUCCGUGGUGAAAUCUCCGAGCUUAACUCGGAAACUGCCGUGGAUACUAUUAGCCUUGAAUGAUGUGGAGGUAAGCGGAAUAUGUCAUGUAGCGGUGAAAUGCAUAGAUAUGACAUAGAACACCUAUUGCGAAGGCAGCUUACUACGCAUAUAUUGACGCUGAGGCUCGAAAGCGUGGGGAUCAAACAGG